CCUACGGGAGGCAGCAGUGAGGAAUAUUGGUCAAUGGGCGCGAGCCUGAACCAGCCAAGUCGCGUGAGGGAAGACGGUCCUAUGGAUUGUAAACCUCUUUUGUCGGGGAGCAAACGACGCCACGCGUGGCGUUCCGAGAGUACCCGAAGAAAAAGCAUCGGCUAACUCCGUGCCAGCAGCCGCGGUAAUACGGAGGAUGCGGGCGUUAUCCGGAUUUAUUGGGUUUAAAGGGUGCGCAGGCGGAAGAUAAAGGCAGUGGUAAAAUUGAGAGGCUCAACCUCUCCGAGCCGUUGAAACUGGUUGUCUUGAGUGAGUGAGAAGUAUGCGGAAUGCGUGGUGUAGCGGUGAAAUGCAUAGAUAGCACGCAGAACUCCGAUUGCGAAGGCAGCAUACCGGCGCUCAACUGACGCUCAUGCACGAAAGUGUGGGUAUCGAACAGGAUUAGAUACCCUUGUAGUC
rnacentral:rRNA from 1 species